UCCGCCAUAGCUCAGUUGGUAGCAGCGCAUGACUGUUAAUCAUGAUGUCGUAGGUUCGAGUCCUACUGGCGGAG
rnacentral:tRNA from 1 species